GACGAACGCUGGCGGCGUGCUUAACACAUGCAAGUCGAACGGAAAGGCCCUGCGUUUGUGGGGUGCUCGAGUGGCGAACGGGGGAGUAACACGUGAGUAACCUGCCCUUGACUUUGGGAUAACUUCAGGAAACUGGGGCUAAUACCGGAUAGGAGCUCCUGCUGCAUGGUGGGGGUUGGAAAGUUUCGGCGGUUGGGGAUGGACUCGCGGCUUAUCAGCUUGUUGGUGGGGUAGGGGCUUACCAAGGCUUUGACGGGUAGCCGGCCUGAGAGGGUGACCGGCCACAUUGGGACUGCGAUACGGCCCAGACUCCUACGGGAGGCAGCAGUGGGGAAUCUUGCACAAUGGGCGGAAGCCUGAUGCAGCAACGCCGCGUGCGGGAUGACGGCCUUCGGGUUGUAAACCGCUUUCGCCUGUGACGAAGCGUGAGUGACGGUAAUGGGUAAAGAAGCACCGGCUAACUACGUG
rnacentral:rRNA from 1 species